UACGUAGGGGGCAAGCGUUGUCCGGAAUUAUUGGGCGUAAAGCGCGCGCAGGCGGUUGAUUAAGUCUGGUGUAUAAACCAAGGGCUCAACCUUUGGACGCAUUGGAAACUGGUCAACUGGAGUGUAGGAGAGGAAAGUGGAAUUCCACGUGUAGCGGUGAAAUGCGUAGAGAUGUGGAGGAACACCAGUGGCGAAGGCGACUUUCUGGCCUAUAACUGACUCUGAGGCGCGAAAGCGUGGGGAGCAAACAGG
rnacentral:rRNA from 1 species